rnacentral:rRNA from 1 species
UGGCGGCAGGCCUAACACAUGCAAGUCGAGCGGUAGAGAGAAGCUUGCUUCUCUUGAGAGCGGCGGACGGGUGAGUAAUGCCUAGGAAUCUGCCUGGUAGUGGGGGAUAACGUUCGGAAACGGACGCUAAUACCGCAUACGUCCUACGGGAGAAAGCAGGGGACCUUCGGGCCUUGCGCUAUCAGAUGAGCCUAGGUCGGAUUAGCUAGUUGGUGAGGUAAUGGCUCACCAAGGCGACGAUCCGUAACUGGUCUGAGAGGAUGAUCAGUCACACUGGAACUGAGACACGGUCCAGACUCCUACGGGAGGCAGCAGUGGGGAAUAUUGGACAAUGGGCGAAAGCCUGAUCCAGCCAUGCCGCGUGUGUGAAGAAGGUCUUCGGAUUGUAAAGCACUUUAAGUUGGGAGGAAGGGCAGUUACCUAAUACGUGAUUGUUUUGACGUUACCGACAGAAUAAGCACCGGCUAACUCUGUGCCAGCAGCCGCGGUAAUACAGAGGGUGCAAGCGUUAAUCGGAAUUACUGGGCGUAAAGCGCGCGUAGGUGGUUAGUUAAGUUGGAUGUGAAAUCCCCGGGCUCAACCUGGGAACUGCAUUCAAAACUGACUGACUAGAGUAUGGUAGAGGGUGGUGGAAUUUCCUGUGUAGCGGUGAAAUGCGUAGAUAUAGGAAGGAACACCAGUGGCGAAGGCGACCACCUGGACUGAUACUGACACUGAGGUGCGAAAGCGUGGGGAGCAAACAGGAUUAGAUACCCUGGUAGUCCACGCCGUAAACGAUGUCAACUAGCCGUUGGGAGCCUUGAGCUCUUAGUGGCGCAGCUAACGCAUUAAGUUGACCGCCUGGGGAGUACGGCCGCAAGGUUAAAACUCAAAUGAAUUGACGGGGGCCCGCACAAGCGGUGGAGCAUGUG